GGCUCCAUAGUGUAGUGGUUAGCAUGUCUGCUUUACACACAGAAGGUACUGGGUUCGCGCACCAAGUGGAGCCA
rnacentral:tRNA from 1 species